rnacentral:snoRNA from 1 species
AUGUUAGCAAUUUCUGACUAUCUCCUUAAACCUCUCCCAAGCUUCAAACACAGUCUCAGUAUCUUUCUGGCAGAAGUUAUGGAUUUCUCUUCUAAACUU